ACAAGAUGAAUCUUUACUUAUUUGCUUAGGUGCGCAACUAAAUGAAUAAGUUAGGAUUCUAAUGCUAGGAGUAACACUAGAUUCGUAUAUGUCUUGUGUCCAUUCCAAUUGAGUAGCAAAAUGUUUUCGCGAAUUACAUGUGGCUCAAACCAUAGGUUUAGCAAGACUACCAACGUACUUGUGACCCUAGAUUUAUCCAAACCCUUUUCUUGCUUAAUGAUUUUGAUAUGUUAAACUUAGCGAGCUUGUGUCUAGGUUGCAUAUUUGAAAAUAGAUUAAGUGGUGAGCUUGUAUUCACUUAACGAGGAACUAAGAAAGGGUAAUGGGUUAACUCGAGCUUGUGAGUUAAUUUCGGGUAAAUUCAAUUGAGAUUUAGAAUUCCAUAACUGAGCUUUGAUAUGAAUGAAUGUGUUCGGUGGUAGAGAAUGAACUCUUAGCUUUGUUUCUAUUAAUAGUUUUAGAAUCUUAUCAAAUCUGUUUCUGUUUGAUUAGCUUUCCGUGUUCCGUUUUACGUGAAUUAUUUCAUAUAGCAAAUCAACUCCAAUUGUUAUGAAAUUUUGUAUACAUAUUGUUAAAUGUGUCUUUAGUGUCCUGUAAAAGUUUCAGAAAAUUCCAUUGAGUCUAAGUUAGUUAAUUAAUUUAUUUUUAUUAACUGUUUAGUAGCAUAGUUUAUAGUAGUUUGUGACAUUUGAUUAGCAGUUUAGAAACAAUCUUCAGCGGGUAAUGACCCUUGCUUGAUCACUAUAUUACCAACGAUGAUGUUUGAGUGCAAGGUUUAAGUUGUGCAUCUUUUAAGACGUACCACUUAAUAGAUGGAUGAUGAUUUCGCUAAUUUGAAAAUGUGAUUGGUGAUUAUGUCUCCUUGAAACAAAAACAGGGUGAUUAGUACAUGUGCAUGUAAAAUCAACACUAAUAGCUUGCAUAUAUACUUUGGUAAGAUAUUUUAAACAAAGUGUACAAGAAAUCUUGAAGCUAAAGGUGAGAGCUGAUCAAUUUUUGUUCACGGCAUAUUGAGUUUAGGAGAUAAAAUGACAUGAGGAGACAUGACAUGUGGCUAUGUGACAUGCAUCUUUUUAUAUUAUGCACAUGCAUAUAUAUAUAUAUAUAUAUAUAUAUAUAUAUAUGUGUGUGUACCAGUGACUAGUGUUGGUAGUAUGAUUGACAAUUAAGGCACUGGUUUGUGUGAUAUACACACAUAAGCAUAGGGCGCACCAUGUAUAAUGCGGCCAAUGUCACAAUUAAGCUAUGGCUAUGCAUGAAUUUGCAUAUGAGUGACAACUCAAACAUGAAAAGUAUUUAUAAAUAGCAACAUAUAUACGUGCCCUAUGCAUAAGCAGAUUUGCAUGUCAAUUGUAUCAUUCCCUCUGACAUGUGGCAAUAAAUUAGGAGUCAGUUGCUUUAACUAAACAUGUGUGUAUGAGCAAGGAUCAGACAGAUAUAAAGCAAGAGGCUUAGCAUUGAACUUCAGAUAUAAAGUAUCUGUGAUUUAGCUUAUUCGCAUAAGUUGGAGACUUAAACAGGAAAAAAAACUUAUCUGAUUGCUGCAAUUGAAGCCUGAAGGAGUGCUACUUGGUGUUAAGGUAACCUGAUGAGUACUCAGGUGUCCAUAGCAGCUAUAUGGGUGCCGAGAGCAGAAAAUCCUCACUCUUAUUCUCAGCGCAUUUUUUUUUUUUAACGGUGAAUAUCACUGAUCUGACUGCUUAUGAAGCGAAGUCAUCGGAAGAAGAGCGGGAGUGAGGUAUUGAGUAGAUACUUGGGAAACGGGAUGAACCUACUAGAUAAAAUAAUAUUUUUCUACUACUAUUUCUAGUGAAUACCUGUACUGAUUCGAAUUUUGCUUAACUUUGGUUAUGUAAAUAUAUUACCGAUAUUUGUUUUCUAAUAAAAGUACUAUUCAAACA